GACAGAGGUGCCAAGCGUUAGGCGGAAUCACUGGGCUUAAAGCGUGUGUAGGCGGACUUGUAAGUACCUUGUGAAAUCCCACGGCUCAACCGUGGAACUGCUUGGUAUACUGCUUGUCUUGAGCCACUUAGGGGCUACCGGAACAAAUGGUGGAGCGGUGAAAUGCGUAGAUAUAGGGAAGAACACCAAUAAGGCGAAGGCAGUUAACUAUUCUACUCCUGACAUUGAGGCAUGAAAGCGUGGGGAGCAAAACGG
rnacentral:rRNA from 1 species